rnacentral:lncRNA from 1 species
GAGGGGCUACCGUUCUGCCUCCGACCGGUCGUGUGUGGGUUUACUCGGAGGUGCUUUGCCUCUGAAGAAAAGAGAAAUACUAGGCUUUAGAAUUUCACCAUAUGAAUUUUGGGAGAGAGGAGCACAGUUCAGCCCAUAACUAACACACGACGGAAUGAAGUUGAUAAUAGUGAGACCUUGUUGGUACAAGACUAUGUAACAUAACCUGCGCUUCUCAACAAAGAAUUGCUUUUCUGACUUCUGCACUCAACUACUCAACAUGAAGGCAAUAAGAAUGAAGACCUCUAUGUAUAAUAAUUGACUUCCACUUAAUAAAUAAGCAACACGCUGUCCUGGAUAGCUAACGUGUUUAUGAAUGCAAGGAAAUUUUCAAAAAGGGAGUUUGAAAUUUAACUCCACAAACUACUAUCUGGAUUGGAAUGCUACAUUAAAUGUAUUAUAAUUUUGUAUGGACAUAUAAGGAUGGGGAAUGAAAAGCAUCCAAGGCCAUAUGUUGAUAAUCUUUUGAUAUGUUAAGAAAUAAUCUAGUGUUAUUUUCUAUUUCUUCUCAAAUGUUUUUAGAGGUUACUUGGUACACUGGUCGACAAAACCUUGAAAUGUUGAUGUUUAAGGGCUGUUGAUUGCUGGCAGCAAAGAAGUCCAACUGUGCUGGUACCCGAGAUAGCGUCUCCACAUUUUCUUCCAGGAUCAUCACCUUUGUUCUAAAUAGCUCCCACAUAGUGUGAACAGAAGUCAUAUGUUUUAGAUUUUCUGCCUUGGCACCCAGGAAACCAGUAUGAUUGAGUAAACAUAUUAAACUUCCUCUGCAUUUCCAGCCUGAACAGAUGUUGAGUACAAGCUGAUCCACCUACGUUCAACCUGAGAGAGUCCACAUCCACAGACUGUUUCAUUUCCCUUUUUCAAUUUACAUAGAAGCAUAGAUUCUUGCUGGCAUAUACAAAUGCGCCAUUUAAGGCAAUCAAAAAUGGUUCCACAUCUCAUCUGAUUUCCACAAUUGUUGCUGUAACGAUGGACUACUGAGGAGAGAGACAAUUUCUCUGGCACAUCUUCCCACAUUUUAGCAACAUGUUCAUGGAGAGCCAAUAUUCAGUAAUUACAGCCCAAUUCCUCACAAUUUCACAAUUCGCUAACAAUAUGCAUUUUCACAAUGUAAAGCUGAUUUUCCUUUAACCAAAUCAAACAUGAAAAGAUAGCUGCAUGCAAUGGGCAAUCUAGAUCAUUAGAAGAUUGAUGUAAAAUUAGAGGACACUGAGACUGGAAUAGAUUGCAAACUUCAGGGAGCUCAGAAAACUUGUAAACUCUACAUUUUGAGGAAAUAUGUUGUCGAUGCUUUUGCAACUCUAUGCAGUAACUUAACAAAUAAAGCCUUAAAGUAACU